GACGAACGCUGGCGGCGUGCUUAACACAUGCAAGUCGAACGGAAAGGCCCUGCUUUUGUGGGGUGCUCGAGUGGCGAACGGGUGAGUAACACGUGAGUAACCUGCCCUUGACUUUGGGAUAACUUCAGGAAACUGGGGCUAAUACCGGAUAGGAGCUCCUGCUGCAUGGUGGGGGUUGGAAAGUUUCGGCGGUCGGGGAUGGACUCGCGGCUUAUCGGCUUGUUGGUGGGGUAGUGGCUUACCAAGGCUUUGACGGGUAGCCGGCCUGAGAGGGUGACCGGCCACAUUGGGACUGAGGUACGGCCCAGACUCCUACGGGAGGCAGCAGUGGGGAAUAUUGCACAGUGGGCGGAAGCCUGAUGCAGAGACGCCGCGUGCGGGAUGACGGCCUUCGGGUUGUAAAACGCUUUCGCCUGUGACGAAGCGUGAGUGACGGUAAUGGGUAAAGAAGCACCGGCUAACUACGUG
rnacentral:rRNA from 1 species